rnacentral:rRNA from 1 species
AGCGGACAGAAGGGAGCUUGCUCCCGGAUGUUAGCGGCGGACGGGUGAGUAACACGUGGGUAACCUGCCUGUAAGACUGGGAUAACUCCGGGAAACCGGAGCUAAUACCGGAUAGUUCCUUGAACCGCAUGGUUCAAGGAUGAAAGACGGUUUCGGCUGUCACUUACAGAUGGACCCGCGGCGCAUUAGCUAGUUGGUGGGGUAAUGGCUCACCAAGGCGACGAUGCGUAGCCGACCUGAGAGGGUGAUCGGCCACACUGGGACUGAGACACGGCCCAGACUCCUACGGGAGGCAGCAGUAGGGAAUCUUCCGCAAUGGACGAAAGUCUGACGGAGCAACGCCGCGUGAGUGAUGAAGGUUUUCGGAUCGUAAAGCUCUGUUGUUAGGGAAGAACAAGUGCGAGAGUAACUGCUCGCACCUUGACGGUACCUAACCAGAAAGCCACGGCUAACUACGUGCCAGCAGCCGCGGUAAUACGUAGGUGGCAAGCGUUGUCCGGAAUUAUUGGGCGUAAAGGGCUCGCAGGCGGUUUCUUAAGUCUGAUGUGAAAGCCCCCGGCUCAACCGGGGGAGGGUCAUUGGAAACUGGGAAACUUGAGUGCAGAAGAGGAGAGUGGAAUUCCACGUGUAGCGGUGAAAUGCGUAGAGAUGUGGAGGAACACCAGUGGCGAAGGCGACUCUCUGGUCUGUAACUGACGCUGAGGAGCGAAAGCGUGGGGAGCGAACAGGAUUAGAUACCCUGAUAGUCCACGCCGUACACGAUGAGUGCUAAGUGUUUAGGGGGUUUCCGCCCCCUUAGUGCUGCAGCUAACGCAUUAAGCACUCCGCCCUGGGGGAGUACGGUCG